AAGAAAUAGUAGCUGGAUGAUGGACAGAUUAAAUGUAAUCCAGGAAAGAAUGGGACAUCCUGUUCUCAGGACCUUAUUUGAGAACAAAACGCUAAGCUGUCAUGUUUGGAAGGCCAUCUUUCCCUCUGAGGUUAUCUUGAGUCUGGUUGUGGGGUCUUGUAUGAAACUGGGCGGAUAAGACGCUGGGCCAUGCUGGGAAUGACACUUUCUGUGGAACCAUGGGGGUGAUGGCAGAUGGCAGGACCUGCCCUCUGGUAGGAUGGGCACAAGACAGAGCUGAGAGAAGGGAGCCAUCUCUCUCCACUCCCAGACCACCACGGAGAUGAGGCUUUUCCCUGUGGUCAAACAUGAGGAAAUGUUCACGUCUGCUCGAAGGUGAAGUCUAUACUGACUGUCCAGGGUGCAAGAAGAAAAACAAAUUUUUUUUUCUCCCCUCACUCCCCAUGUUCUUUCCCUUCCUGUCUCCUUCUGGAUCGAUGUCAGUGAAACCCUAAUAAUUCUCAAAGAAGCUGGUUCCUCAUGAAGAGGAGGAAAAAGGUCUUCAGCCAGCAGAGAGGAAGACAAACACCAGCAUUUCCAUUUUAGAAGAGAUCUAUGCUUUUUCUGCAAACCUGAACUGAGCAUACAUCCAUCAGGACCGGCCUCUGACUUUUAGGGGCUCUCAAUGCGGCAGAGUGACGGGGCAAUAACAUUGAUGUGGAUGACAGUCACAGGCGGAUUCUUCUGAGCCACCUGGGAAGGAAGAGCCAAAGCACAAGUCUAUUGAUCCUGUCUUGUCAUAAAGCCACAUUUGGAAAGCAUCGGAGAUGAAGGUAUUAAGCAGUGAGAUGCAGAUCUGGAGUCCCUUAAUUAUCUCAUACAUCACAUCAAGAUUGAGUCAUGAUGCUGAUGCUACAGUAACUAAACGGGAAAGUCAAGGUGGUGUGGGGAGUUUAGGGAAAUUGUUUCCACAUUAGACACCACCUGCAAGGGAGAAUCCUGAUUUGGUCUUAUGACACCCCCACCUCACCCCCCACCUGAGAUUGUCCAACUCCUCUAAAAGCUGAUAUUUGCAAUCUUGCCUGAUUGUGUUUUAAAUGCAUAAUCUUUAGCACCAUCUCCUGCAAAAUCUGACUUGAUAGGCCUGGGAUGUGGCUGGUCAUGGGUAAUUGGACAAGAGUCUGAAAAAUUCUUAUGAUCAAGCAAUUUGGAAAACACAUGAGGAGGAGAGGUAACCCUCCCUUAGACACGAGUCCAGAGAGCUGCUUCCCAAACCAACCUUCAACCUUCAAGGCCUUCGAAGACAUUGACCACACGCACCUUUAGUCUCGCUGCCCAGUCCCUUCACAAACUGUAGAUUGAUGUGGAAUCCUGCCUGAGGUCACAAGUGUGGGCCCUUGUGCCAAGAUCAUAGAAGCAGAGCCCAGAGCCAAGGUCACCUCUGAAGCUGACUGAGUCCCCUUGUAACCAUUGCCAAAAGCCCCCCAGUCAUCACCAGCAGGCUUCCUGACUCCUUUCUAUGCAAAAUGCCCAUGACAGCACUCACCAUAUAGAACCCUAACAGAUCACCUAAUGCCAACCUUCCGGCAGGAAUUUUGUCUGAGGCUAUAAAAACUGGCCACUAACCCACAAAAAGAGUGGCUUCUCCCUGGUCUGUCAGGAGGUUGGCCCACUGCACUCCGGGGGCCCACAUUAUCUCUGCUCUUUGUACUUGACGAACUCAUUCUGUUCUGCAGUACUCUGUGUCUGGAAAUCCUUUUCCAACGUGCGUUCAGACUGCCAUGACAGUUUUUCUUUUAUGUAUUAACUGAUUUUUAUUUAAACUUUUAAUUUUAUACUGGAAUAUAGCUGGUGUUUGUGAUAGCUUCAGGUGCAUAGCCAAGGGACUCAGCCACACAAACACAGGUAUCCCUUCUCCCUCGAACUCUCCUCCCAUCCAGGCUGCCACAUGACCCUCAGCAGAAUUCCAUGUGGUUUUCUUUAUCAACUGGAUUUUAAUUUCUGGGGCCACAGUGUGGCAGCCUGUGCUUCAGCAACGUAUAAAGUCUUCCUUCCCUCGGCCUGUAGGGACUAUCACCUGCCAAGCCUUCUAAGUUCAGUCCAAUCCCCAGGGUCUUUUAGUCCAUACCGGCCCGAGCAGCUGGACACAGGCAGAGGGACAGUGCCGUGUGCUCGGGGGGAGGGUGUGGCUGACUCCAGCAGAAAUGAUCUCAGCGUCACGUGACUGCACUGGUUCCUAUCACGAGCCAUGCUUUUCACCUGCACCUUUAUCCACGCCCAGUCUCCCCAUCAACACUGUGCUUCUAGAAAGAGGCCAUCCAUUUACAGCAACAGAGUGGGCAAAGGCAUCUACUGGGUGGAUGCCUUUAACAAACUCCUUGUGAAUUAUGCUUGCCUGGUCUUCGUGUUGAAGGGUUAGGAGGGAGAAGACACUCAUUUCAUAUUUGGUUAUAUCCUGAAGAUGCACAAAUGAUUUCAGGAAAUCUGUUUCCAAGUGCUUUAGACUCUAGGGAAGGAAAACAAAGAAAAUCUAGGAGAGGGGAUGUGGAUUGUUAAAUGAGAUCACAGAGGAGAGGACAGUACUUAAACCAGACCCAACUGAUUUGCCUUUUUAUUAGAACCACUCUGUGGUGAUGUAAGACAGACACUGUUUGUGGAACUAGGCCAGCGAUCUGUUACCCUGACCUCCUGCAUUUCCUGGCCAAUACCCAGUUGUUCAAACUGCUUUGAAUCACUUGCUCCAUCUCCAUCUGCCAUAGGCUCCUUUCCACCCGUCAUGUGGUCUUUCUAUUCUUACACUUGCUCUUCUUUUUGGUAAAUUUCCAUUUUUCAGCCCCUCCCUUCCUCACCCUUCCCUCUUUAAAAUCCAGUUGCCUCAUCCUGCCCCUCCCUAUGUGCCUCUUCUUCUGCAGGGUUUCGCCGUCACAAGCCCCCUGUGUCUGCAUCUUCUGCCUCUGUUUUGGGUCCCUUUUCCCUCCUGCCCCAACCUCCUCUUGCUUCUGUAAGCUCCAGCUCUCCCUGAUACCCUCGUGGUUGUUCUCCUCAGAACGCAGAGGGCUGACAGAAUGGGGACACUGAAUACAGUGACGAUAAUGUCAGCAGCUCAGGGGAGAAAAAUGAAAAGAGGAAAAAUGGAAAAAAAAAAAAAAGCCACAGGUUUUAAUUAGAUAUCCAUGCCACUGACUCACACUUAAUAUGCAAAUUUUUAGCCCUUUCAUUGUUAAGUGAAAUGAGAGUUUUAUUUAAAUGUAAAAAUGGCUGGGAGAUGAGGAAGGGUAAUUAAGUAGCACAGAAACCAGAAGAAACGUAAGCCUAUGCUUCAUGACGCCUGUAAUAACACAGGAAAGCGCAAGGAUCCGGCUUUAUGCAGGGAGUGAAGAGCCAGAGCUUAACACAACUCCACUGCUGCUGCUGCUGGCGCUGAUGAUCCAUUUGUACCUGUGUGCGUGGACUCCGGUUCAGAGGUCAGAUCAUAUCUGACCGUCAUAGCAGUGGUUCUAAGGAAUGGAGGGGGCUGGUUAAUUGGCUCCAUUGUACAGAUGAGAGCUAGAGGCUCAGAAGUUGUAAUGGCUUCUUCAAGAUCGAGUCGGUAAAUAGAAUCACCUGGGGAUAUUUCUCCUACUCUGCACGGCCAGAAUUGGGAUCUCAGCACUAAUGAAAAAGGCUGGAUUACAGAGAUGAGGUAAAGAACCUGAGCUAUAAAAAGUAAUGUUUGUACCUCCAUUUGCGGGUGACAUUUAAUUGUAACUUUGGGGAAUAAGCCUGGUGGCAGGAAAAUUGCUACCCUACCUCAAAGUUUCUCUGUGUUAUUGUUAGUGCAUUGAACCACUGUAGUACUUGAAAAACUAUAAUCCGAAGCAUUCAUGGUGGUAGUAAUUACCAUUACUUCUCCUGCGAGGAUGCAUUGAUCAUCUAUGCAUUGUCAGGAAAUGUGCAUUUCACUGUCUCCUCUACUGCAUACAAUGCUUUAAUUAUAAGAGCACAAAUUUAUUAGCAAAUAGAAUCAAACAAUACAUUCAACAGGUAAAAUGUUCCUGAAAUUAAUUCCAAGAAUAAAAGGUGUGCCAAUAUUAUGUGUGAAGUUAUAGAAAUACUUGAAAGAAUAAAUAAAAAUUGUACAUUUGUAUAUGAUCUCUCAAUAAGUGAGAUCUCACUGCAAAUUGAAAGGAGCAUCACUAUUAAUGGAAAAACCUGGAGGCGAUUGCAUGAAAGCAGAAAUAAGACAUGGGCUUCCUGUUAUAACUGUCAAAAAAUUCUAACCAAUGCAAUGAGACAGGAAAAUAAAUUAAAAACUACAUAAAGAAUAAGACAAAACCCAUCUUUACUUAAAACUGAUAAGAUUGUCUUAGUAAGCAAAGGUAAUUCAUAUUUUAUUUGAAGAAUUGAAGGAAAUACAGAUGUGUUGGAUUUUUUUUUUUUUUUUAGCAAUGAAGCAUGCUAAAGAUGAAAAAGUAUCUUUUAUGUACCCUUGUUAAGGACAAGAAGAGAUAUCUGGUUCAAAACUGUCUUUGAUUUUAAUUUAGAAAAAAAAUGUACCAAAGUAGAAAACUCAAAUGCAUUCUCUUCACUUCUUACUAAAAUAAAUUAUAAAAGUUUAGAAAAAAAUAAUGAUAUAUUUUUAGGAAAACUAAGAUUGAAGAACAAUUUCUUAAAAUUAACUAGAAAUUGAUGCUACUUAUAAGGAAAGUUGAGCUGGACUGAAUAGAGAUAUUUUCCAAUCAUGACAAAACUUAUCCUUAUGAAACAUGAUUACAAAAGAGGAAAGAAAAAAGUAUACAUCAUCUUUACUCUCUGUCUCCUUAGAUAACAAGGCUUCACCCAAGGGAGGACUGAGCAGCCAUUACUAAUAUGGCUAAAUGAAAGGAUGCACUGGUUAGUUAUCUACUGCUUACUAACAAGUUACCUUAACACUCAGUGGCUUAAAACAGUAAAUAUUUAUAAUCUCACACCAUUUUUCUUGAGAGUCCCUUGGACUGCAAGGAGAUCCAACCAGUCCAUUCUAAAG